rnacentral:rRNA from 1 species
GACGAACGCUGGCGGCGUGCUUAACACAUGCAAGUCGAACGGUGAAGCGCCUUCCUUUUUGGUGGGUGUGGAUGAGUGGCGAACGGGUGAGUAACACGUGAGUAACCUGCCCCCUUCUUCUGGAUAACCGCAUGAAAGUGUGGCUAAUACGGGAUAUUCUGGGUCUGUCGCAUGAUGGGUCUGGGAAAGAUAUUGUUUCGGUGGGGGAUGGGCUCGCGGCCUAUCAGCUUGUUGGUGGGGUGAUGGCCUACCAAGGCGGUGACGGGUAGCCGGCCUGAGAGGGUGGACGGUCACACUGGGACUGAGGCACGGCCCAGACUCCUACGGGAGGCAGCAGUGGGGAAUAUUGCACAAUGGGCGCAAGCCUGAUGCAGCGACGCCGCGUGAGGGAUGGAGGCCUUCGGGUUGUGAACCUCUUUCGCCAGUGAAGCAGGCCUGCCUAGUUUGUGGGUGGGUUGACGGUAGCUGGAGAAGAAGCGCCGGCUAACUACGUG